GUUUGAUCCUGGCUCAGGACGAACGCUGGCGGCGUGCCUAACACAUGCAAGUCGAACGAGGUCCAUGCAGUGGCAACACUGCGGACGACCUAGUGGCGAACGGAUGAGUAACACGUGAGGAACUUGCCCCGGAGACCGGGAUAACCCUCCGAAAGGAGAGCUAAUACCGGAUGUCCUCACCGAGUCGCAUGGCUUGGUGAGGAAAUGGAUUCCGCUCCGGGAGAGCCUCGCGGCCUAUCAGCUUGUUGGUGGGGUAACGGCCCACCAAGGCGUCGACGGGUAGCUGGUCUGAGAGGACGAUCAGCCACACUGGGACUGAGACACGGCCCAGACUCCUACGGGGAGGCAGCAGUGGGGAAUCUUGCGCAAUGGGCGAAAGCCUGACGCAGCAACGCCGCGUGCGGGAUGAAGGCCCUCGGGUUGUAAACCGCUUUCAGUGGGGACGAACCAAGACGGUACCCACAGAAGAAGCCCCGGCCAACUACGUGCCAGCAGCCGCGGUAACACGUAGGGGGCAAGCGUUGUCCGGAUUUAUUGGGCGUAAAGAGCUCGUAGGCGAUUCGGUAAGUCGGGUGUGAAACCUCCAGGCUCAACCUGGAGACGCCACCCGAUACUGCUGUGACUAGAGUCCAGUAGGGGAGCGUGGAAUUCCUGGUGUAGCGGUGAAAUGCGCAGAUAUCAGGAGGAACACCAGUGGCGAAGGCGGCGCUCUGGGCUGGAACUGACGCUGAGGAGCGAAAGCGUGGGGAGCGAACAGGAUUAGAUACCCUGGUAGUCCACGCCGUAAACGUUGGGUACUAGGUGUGGGGUCUUAUCAACGGAUUCCGUGCCGAAGCUAACGCAUUAAGUACCCCGCCUGGGGAGUACGGCCGCAAGGCUAAAACUCAAAGGAAUUGACG
rnacentral:rRNA from 1 species